AGAACGAACGCUGGCGGCGCGGAUAAGACAUGCAAGUCGAGCGCUGAUUACAGGGUAGCAAUAUCUUGUAGUUGGAGCGGCGCAAGGGUGCGUAACACGUGGGUAAUCUGCCAUGAAGUAUGAGAUAACUCGCUGAAAGGCGAGCUAAUACCGUAUGUGAAAAUUGAAAGGCAUCUUUUGAUUUUCAAAGCUGGGGACCGUAAGGCCUGGCGCUUCAUGAUGAGCUCGCGGCCUAUCAGCUUGUUGGUGGGGUAACGGCCUACCAAGGCGACGACGGGUA
rnacentral:rRNA from 1 species